rnacentral:misc_RNA from 1 species
UCUGUAGGCUUCGAGCCCCAC